rnacentral:rRNA from 1 species
AUUGAACGCUGGCGGCAUGCCUUACACAUGCAAGUCGAACGGUAACAGGUCUUCGGAUGCUGACGAGUGGCGAACGGGUGAGUAAUACAUCGGAACGUGCCUAGUAGUGGGGGAUAACUACUCGAAAGAGUGGCUAAUACCGCAUGAGAUCUACGGAUGAAAGCAGGGGAUCGCAAGACCUUGUGCUACUAGAGCGGCCGAUGGCAGAUUAGGUAGUUGGUGGGCUAAAAGCUUACCAAGCCGACGACCUGUAGCUGGUCUGAGAGGACGAUCAGCCAGACUGGGACUUAGACACGGCCCAGACUCCUACGGGAGGCAGCAGUGGGGAAUUUUGGACAAUGGGCGCAAGCCUGGUCCAGCAAUGCCGCGUGCAGGAUGAAGGCCGUCGGGUUGUAAACUGCUUUAGUACGGAACGAAAAGCCCCGGGUUAAUACCCUGGGGUCAUGACGGUACCGUAAGAAUAAGCACCGGCUAACUACGUGCCAGCAGCCGCGGUAA